UGUUAAAAAUUUCAUUCAUUUGUACUGUCAAAAACUGGCGUGACUAGUGAAAUAACCUGACCACGUGUAUCUCAUGCUAAUGUACAAGGAUCAGUCUUUUACAGUAAAAAUGGGUGGAAUUUUUAACA
rfam:Gossypium raimondii Chr08_contig_765, whole genome shotgun sequence.